UGGAGGCAGCAGUGGGGAAUUUUGCGCAAUGGGGGAAACCCUGACGCAGCAACGCCGCGUGAGUGAUGAAGGCCUUCGGGUCGUAAAGCUCUGUCUAGAGGAAAGAAAUGUAGGUAGGCUAAUACCCUAUUUACUUGACGGUACCUCUGAAGGAAGCACCGGCUAACUCCGUGCCAGCAGCCGCGGUAAUACGGAGGGUGCGAGCGUUGUUCGGAAUUAUUGGGCGUAAAGCGCGUGUAGGCGGUCUAUUAAGUCUGAUGUGAAAGCCCCGGGCCUAACCUGGGAAGUGCAUUGGAAACUGGUAGACUUGAAUACGGGAGAGGGUAGUGGAAUUCCUAGUGUAGGAGUGAAAUCCGUAGAUAUUAGGAGGAACACCGGUGGCGAAGGCGGCUACCUGGACCGAUAUUGACGCUGAGACGCGAAAGCGUGGGGAGCAAACAGGAUUAGAUACCCCGGU
rnacentral:rRNA from 1 species